rnacentral:rRNA from 1 species
AACGAACGCUGGCGGCAUGCCUAACACAUGCAAGUCGAACGAAGUCUUCGGACUUAGUGGCGCACGGGUGAGUAACGCGUGGGAAACUGCCUAUUGGUGGGGAAUAACGACGGGAAACUGUCGCUAAUACCGCAUAAGCCCUUCGGGGGAAAGAUUUAUCGCCGAUAGAUGUGCCCGCGUCUGAUUAGCUAGUUGGUGAGGUAAUGGCUCACCAAGGCUACGAUCGGUAGCUGGUCUGAGAGGAUGAUCAGCCACACUGGGACUGAGACACGGCCCAGGCUCCUACGGGAGGCAGCAGUGGGGAAUAUUGGACAAUGGGCGAAAGCCUGAUCCAGCAAUGCCGCGUGAGUGAUGAAGGCCUUAGGGUCGUAAAGCUCUUUCGGGUGGGACGAUGAUGACGGUACCACCAGAAGAAGCCCCGGCUAACUUCGUGCCAGCAGCCGCGGUAAUACGAAGGGGGCUAGCGUUGUUCGGAAUUACUGGGCGUAAAGCGCACGCAGGCGGCUCGAUAAAUUAGAAGUGCAAGCCCCGGGCUUAACCUGGGAAUUGCCUUUAAGACUGUCGAGCUAGAAUCCAGAAGAGGGUAGUGGAAUUCCGAGUGUAGAGGUGAAAUUCGUAGAUAUUCGGAAGAACACCAGUGGCGAAGGCGACUACCUGGUCUGGCAUUGACGCUCAUGUGCGAAAGCGUGGGGAGCAAACAGGAUUAGAUACCCUGGUAGUCCACGCCGUAAACGAUGGGUGCUAGUUGUUGGGGACCAUAGGUCUUCAGUGACGCAGCUAACGCAUUAAGCACCCCGCCUGGGGAGUACGGCCGCAAGGUUAAAACUCAAAGGAACUGACGGGGGCCCGCACAAGCUGGUGGAGCAUGUGGUUUAAUUCGAAGCAACUGCGCAGAACCUUACCAGCGUUUGACAUGGGACGUAUGGUCGCCAGAGAUGGCUUCCUUC